rnacentral:lncRNA from 1 species
AUGGCACCUCAGAUGGGGAAGGAAAUGAAGAACAAGUCAUCGGCUUUGAAUUUCAGGGGCUGAAGUAGAGAAUAUAUUUGAUGUCUGCCACAUUUUUUUACCCUUCAGUGACACUUCUGUCCAUGUUAUUGAUAUCACUGACAAAUAAACUAUCUGCUGCAUGACUGGGGGAUGAAGAAUAAGGGUGAUCGAAAUGAAUUCUCACCUUAAACUACCAUGUUGGCCAUCCACAAUGUGGCCCAGAAGUGCAAGGGUCUGGACAUUGUUGCAAUACAUAUCAUAUUACAGACCACAGGAGGAAAUACAGCCAAGAUCCCUGGGCCUGGGGCUCAGUCAGUUCUCAGUGCCUUUGCUCAUUAAGGAAAGGAGACUGGACAGAUUAAAGAUGUCAUUGACAUCUUAUGACAGCACUCACAGGAAGAAGGGUCACUGUUGUAGCCAUCUGUGA